UGAGCAAUCUGCCCUUCACAUCGGAAUAACCAUUGGAAACGAUGGCUAAUACCGAAUAUGACUUCGGAUCGCAUGAUCUGAAGUGGAAAGCUCCGGCGGAGAAGGAUGAGCUCGCGGCCUAUCAGCUUGUUGGUGAGGUAAUGGCUCACCAAGGCAUUGACGGGUAGCCGGCCUGAGAGGGUGACCGGCCACACUGGGACUGAGACACGGCAGA
rnacentral:rRNA from 1 species